rnacentral:rRNA from 1 species
GUGGGGAAUUUUCCGCAAUGGGCGAAAGCCUGACGGAGCAAUACCGCGUGAGGGAAGAAGGUCUGUGGAUUGUAAACCUCUUUUGUUAGGGAAGAUAAUGACGGUACCUAACGAAUAAGCAUCGGCUAACUCCGUGCCAGCAGCCGCGGUAAGACGGAGGAUGCAAGCGUUAUCCGGAAUUAUUGGGCGUAAAGCGUACGUAGGCGGUUUUAUAAGUCUGUUGUCAAAGCCCGAGGCUUAACCUUGGAAAGGCAAUGGAAACUGUAAGACUAGAGAGAGAUAGGGGCAGGAGGAAUUCCAGGUGUAGCGGUGAAAUGCGUAGAUAUCUGGAAGAACACCAGUGGCGAAAGCGUCCUGCUGGAUCUCAACUGACGCUGAAGUACGAAAGCUAGGGGAGCGAAUGGGAUUAGAAACCCCUGUAGUCC